rnacentral:pre_miRNA from 13 species
GGACGUCGUGCAUAGCUGUGCUCUAUGGGUUUGACAUCAUCAUACUUGGGAUGUAUGACACAAAGUCCCAAGCAGGCUGAUGUCAGGCCCAAGAUGGCUGCCAUCCUGUGUCGGUUUA